CCCAGGCAUGCCUCCAAUUUAUGAUCCUCCUGCCUCAGCCUCAGGAGUUGCUGGGAUUACGGGCAUGUGCCACUGCAUCCAGUUUUAAUUUUGCUUUAUAUAUAAGUGUGUACAAGUUUAAAAUUGCACCUUUUAUCAUUAUAACGUAAGUCACUUUAUUUCAUAUAAUGUUCUCUUUCUUUUUCCCUCUUUUUGGUGGUACCUGGGAUUGAACCCAGGGCUUUGUGCAUGCUAGGCAAUCAUGUAGGUCAUUUUUUGUUUUUGCCUUCAAGAUUGUUCAACUUUAUGCUCCUGUUUUUAACUUUGAGUUAGUUCUUUGAUAUGUGGGAAUUUCCCUGUAUUUCUGCUGAACCCUGUUAUACAUUGAGCCUUCCCUUGCCCGUGUGUUUGGACUCGUGUGUGUGUGUGUGUGUGUGUGUGUGUGUGUGUGUGUGUGUGUGUGUAGGGGGGUCAUGUAUUACUGGAGCCUGCCUGCUUCAGGACUCUCUGGCUCUAUAGCCCUUAGGGCCUUCAGAGCAUCUCUUUUCGUCAUGAUCUUUAACCUUCCUCUCCUAUCACUGGCUGCUUUGUUUUCAUAACCUCAUCCCAAUUCCCCAACAAGGGACCCUUAUUUGGCCUAGGUUAUCAUUUUGCUCUGUAGUCUACCACUGGAGACUUUUUCCACCUACAAGUUGGUUACUUUGGGAACAGGUGCCCAUCCCUAAUCCCUCAAUCCAAUUGGGUCUGUGUGCUGGGCAGUUUCACUUGCAGAGGGCCAUGGGGGACAAAACAGCUCAUUUGGCCCUUCUGUCUUGUGGGCUGUGGUUAGUGGAGCUAUUCCUGUGUUUGGCUGUUGGUCUCUGUAGCAAGAAGUGUUCUGUCCAGGAUCUGCUGUUGCAUGGCACUGUGACAUGGUGCCCCGUUGCAUUUGCAGAGAUUCAUUGUUUUUAUUGGGUCUAGAAUCCAAGGUGUUUUUGCUUCCAAGGAGGGCAUGGGAUUCAGGCUUACUGUGCUCCACUCUGUCAAUCUCUCUCUCCUCUCAAGCCAGCUAAGUGCUUAUUAUUAGGAACCCCCCCUCCUGCCGCCCCGCCUGACUUGAGUCACCUGCCCCCAAAUUCCUUUUAUCAUAGAAGGAGUCUAUGAGGUCUUGUUGGAAAAUACUUCUGAAAUUGGCUGUUGGGCAAAGUCUUAUAGAGCAGAGCAUGAAAAACAGGCUCUUAUGAUUUUAUUUUUUUAUGGAACACAAGCCUUGCCUGUCUGGGUAUAUAGUCUUUUUGUAGCUAUUCUCAUCUUUGUUUUUCUUUUCUCUUUUUUUUUUCUCCCACAUUUUUGCUAUUCUCAUCUUGGGAAUUUGUUUUUAAUUUGGUUAUCAUCAGCCAAAUAUGGAGAAAUGUUCCCGCUUGAUAUUUUGAGGACUUAUUGUUUGAGUCCAGUGUAAGAACAUCUGGGAACAAGUGUUGGGUAUUCACCUCAUUUACCCAUGCGUCCGUAUCCUUGGGGACUAGCAUGGGAAGUUCUUUAAACUUAGUGUUUUGAUUUAGAUUCCCUAAACCAUACAGUGAUAGUCUUUCCAAACCGGAAGGAAUCAAGGGAAUCGCCUCAUUUUAUGAUGACAUCACUGAGCUCCAGAGAGGGCCAGGGACCUUCUCAAAGUCUCAUCAUACCAGCUGAUGGCAGAGCUGGGACAAGGACCUCAUAGGUCUCUUGACCUUCUCAGCCCUGGCCCUUUUCCCUCUCAAAGGUAUAGCACUAAAUCAUGCUUGGAGUUUCAAUAUUGUUUUGUCAGAGCUGAUUUAGAAUCUACAGUGACAGAAAUGUCUGGACAUUAAAGCGUAGGCAGAGCUGUGGUCCCUUGAUGUGUAAUUGUAGACAGGGGUAAAUGACUUGAGCAGGAGGCAGGAUUUGUUCUCAGGGACUUAGGGCUGGGGGGGUGGAUUAUAAAUGCUGCUAUAAGCCUUGUGUUGUCUUACCCAGUUCAGAAUAAGGAAAUGCUAUUCCACAUUUCGUUUUUUAAGUUUCCUUUAUUUAUUUAUUUUUUGCUGUGGUGCUGGGGAUGAAACCCAGGGCCUCGCACACACUAGGCCAGUGCUCUGCCGCUGAGCCACGUCCCCAGUCCACAUUUUUUUUUUAAAUAUUAUGGGUUUGCAUUUUCCUUUCUUUCUUCAGACCAUCUCCUGCCUUCUUUCCUUCUUCUCCCGUUUUCUUAUAUACCAUUAACCCCUCGUUUCUGUCAUCUUUGUUUCUCUCCCUACUAACCUCUGACAUAAAGUAUUAAUUUUUGGCGUUUUUUUUCCCCUUUCUUUGAAGUGCUCCUUCUGGCUACAAAAACUUCCAAUUAAGUUUUUUAAAUAAAAGAUAGAAGUUAAAAGCAACUGCUGCCUGGGGUUAGCAGGAUGGAAACUUGUAGUUGCUUGAAGCUGUACUUCAAAAAGAGAAAACUCAAUUUUAAAAGUGUAGAGGUUUAUUCGUAAAAUACAUUGUGUUCAAAAAAAAUGACUGUGGAUACUCUAGGCUGGGGAGGAGUGAAACGGUGGGUCACUUGUUCUAUUGUAUUUAUUUAUGGAAUAUCCCUUUUUCUAUCUAAUAUUUAAGGGGAAAUUUUGAGCAUGUGGAUUCUUGUUUAUUCUGUAAAUAAACUUUAAUUAAUUUAAUAUUGACAUUCUUAUUUAUUUAUUGUUUUUCUGGGAUGGGAUCCAACCCAGGGCAUUACACCUUCUGGAAAGUGUCGCUGUACCACCGAGUGACCUGAAAUGCUGAUCACAGGUUGUCACUCUUAAGUGGAUCAUGAGGUCUAAAUUUAGAGGCUCAUUUUAAAAGGAGAAAAUAGAAAUAAAAAUACAGGGAAAUAUUAAGGUAAGUAUUGUUUCUUGAAUCUUUAUGCAGCAACCCUCUCCUUAUUCGUGGUUUUGCUUUCCGUGGUUUCAUUGGCUAUGGUGAACUGUGGUCAAAAAAAUAUUAAGUGAAAAAUUUCAGAAAUAACAAGCUAGAAAAUGUGUCAAUCUGAGAAGAGCGAUGAAAUCUCUUGUGGUCUUGCUUUGCCUACCUGAAAUGUGAGUCAUCCCUUUGUCCAGUGUAUUCACACUGUAUAUGCUACCCACCUGUUAAUAUUUAGCAACUGUCUGGGGUAUGAGAUUGACUGUUGCAUUUACUUAGUAGUGUCCUUAAAGUGCAAGAGUACAGAUACUGGCUAUUUUAUUACAAUAUAUUCUCAUAUUGUUUUCAUUAUGUUAUUAAUUAUUAAUUUCUUAACUAUGCCUAACAUAAGCUCUAUCAUAAGUAUAAGAAAAUGUACAAUAUAUUUAGUGUACCUAUGGUUUCAGGCAUCCACAGAUAGACGUUGAAAUCUAUCCACUGAGGAUAGGGGAGGAUUACUGUAUCUGUACACACACACACACAUACACACCUUGGGACAUGAUACAAAACAUAUCUCUCAUCAGGGAUGGAAGUGAAAAAGAUCUGAGAAGCAGUCAGUCUUAAAGGGUGGGGAGUGUCGGCUCUGUGCCAUAUCCUCCCUUCUGGAAUACUUCUUUCCUGUGCUCCGCAGGUCCCAUGGAUACUUUCUGAGGUCUGUGACUAUCUUUUCCUUGUUUCUUAUCUGUGCUGACCUCUGGAGUGCCAAGCCUGUUCAACUCUCUCCAGUUAGGCCACUCUCCUUGCUCCUGUGGAUGACUGCCUGCUUAGGACAUGGGAGGAAUUAGAGGAUUCAGCUAGGAGAAAGGUGGGCUUCUUCUAAUCAGUCAAAGGCCUGAAUGGAACAAAAAGACUGACCUCCUCCAAGCAAGAAGGAAUUCAAGGUGUAUGGUUUUGGUACCUGAACGGCAGCAUUGGCUCUUUCUUGGAUCACCAGCCUCAUGACCUUUGAACUUCAAUUGUAGCAUCAGGUCUUCUCUGGGGCUCCAGCCUGCUAGCCCACCCUGAAUUAUUAUUAUUAUUUUUUUUUUUGAGUCACUUUUGUCAUUUAUAUUUUUCCACCUUUUUAAAACUGGUGCAUUAUAGUUGUAUAUUUUGAUGGGAUUUGUUGUUAUGUAUUCAAUAUAUGUAAUAUAACAAUAUAAUUUGGUAACAUCACUCCCCAACACUUUCCCCCACCUCCCCUACCUCCCAUCCCUUGGUUCCUUUCCUCUACUGAUCUCCCUUUGAUUUUCAUGGGAUCUAUCCUCACCUUUAUUUUUCUUUUUUCCUCUCUAGCUUCCUGAUAUGGAAGAAAACAUAAGCCCCUUGAACUCCCGAG